UAUCUCUGUAGAGUCUGCAUAUCAAUAAGCGGAGGAAAAGAAACUAACUAGGAUUCCCUCAGUAACGGCGAGUGAAGCGGGAAGAGCUCAAAUUUGAAAUCUUCAAGGUUCUACCUUGACGAAUUGUAGUUUAAAGAAGUGUUUUCUGUUGGAGUUUUGGUAAAAGUUCUUUGGAAUAGGACAUCAUAGAGGGUGAGAAUCCCGUAUUUGACCAUUAUUUCCAGCUUUGUGAUACACUUUCAAAGAGUCGGAUUGUUUGGGAAUGCAGUCCAAAAUGGGUGGUAAAUUUCAUCUAAAGCUAAAUAUUGGCGAGAGACCGAUAGCGAACAAGUACCGUGAGGGAAAGAUGAAAAGAACUUUGAAAAGAGAGUUAAACAGUACGUGAAAUUGUCAAGAGGGAAGCGUUUGAUCACCAGUGUUGUUUUUCUGAAAAUCAAUUAAAGAACUGUUUAUGCUAAGCUGUUUAGACUUUAUCAGCUAUCUGUUUAGUUUUGAGCUUUUCUUUAAUGCACUUUUCAGUUAACAAGUCAACAUCAAUUUCUUUUGCUGUAAAAAAGCUUGAGGAAGGUGGCUUGAGAUUCGUCUUAAGUGUUUAUAGCCUCUUGCCUAUGCAGUCGGAGAGAUUGAGGUCUGCAGCGUAGAUCCUUUGGGGCUAAAUGCAUUUGUGCUAAGUUAUAGCAUUUUAUAGACAACUUGUUGACUAUGAUUUGUCUUGUAGCUUACCCGCUUAUGUUAUUUUACCUACGCUUAGGAUGUUGACGAUCAGCUGAGCGCG
rnacentral:rRNA from 1 species